rnacentral:rRNA from 1 species
UAAAAACCCCGACUUCGGAAGGGGUGUAUUUAUUAGAUACAAAACCAAUGCCCUUCGGGGCUCUUUGGUGAUUCAUGAUAACUAUACGAAUCGCACGGCCUUGCGCCGGCGAUGGUUCAUUCAAAUUUCUUCCCUAUCAACUUUCGAUGUUUGGGUAUUGGCCAAACAUGGUUGCAACGGGUAACGGAGGGUUAGGGCUCGACCCCGGAGAAGGAGCCUGAGAAACGGCUACUACAUCCAAGGAAGGCAGCAGGCGCGCAAAUCACCCAAUCCCGACUCGGGGAGGUAGUGACAAUAAAUACUGAUACAGGGCCCUUUCGGGCCUUGUAAUUGGAAUGAGUACAAUUUAAAUCCCUUAACGAGGAACAAUUGGAGGGCAAGUCUGGUGCCAGCAGCCGCGGUAAUUCCAGCUCCAAUAGCGUAUAUUAAAGUUGUUGUGGUUAAAAAGCUCGUAGUUGAACCUUGGGCCUGGCUGGCCGGUCCGCCUCACCGCGUGCACUGGUCCGGCCGGGCCUUUCCCUCUGUGGAACCCCAUACCCUUCACUGGGCGUGGCGGGGAAACAGGACAUUUACUUU